AUUAAACGCUGGCGGCAUGCCUUACACAUGCAAGUCGAACGGUAGCGCGGGGCAACCUGGCGACGAGUGGCGAACGGGUGAGUAAAGCAUCGGAACGUGCCCUGGAAUGGGGGAUAACGUAGCGAAAGUUACGCUAAUACCGCAUAUUCUGUGAGCAGGAAAGCAGGGGAUCGCAAGACCUUGCGUUCUGGGAGCGGCCGAUGUCGGAUUAGCUAGUUGGUGGGGUAAAAGCCUACCAAGGCGACGAUCCGUAGCGGGUCUGAGAGGAUGAUCCGCCACACUGGGACUGAGACACGGCCCAGACUCCUACGGGAGGCAGCAGUGGGGAAUAUUGCGCAAUGGGCGAAAGCCUGACGCAGCGACGCCGCGUGAGGGACGAAGGUCUUCGGAUUGUAAACCUCUUUCAGCAGGGACGAAGCGAAAGUGACUGUACCUGCAGAAGAAGCAACCGGCUAACUACGUGCCAGCAG
rnacentral:rRNA from 1 species